CGGAAUGAUAUUUGAAUCCAAGAGACUUGGAAAAUGAGUUGUCUAACUUGAAGAAACUGGGAUCCACAGUUAUAUCGACGGGCUCGGCAAUAACAUCGGACUUGUUGGGGAAUUCUUUGCGAAGGACCUUGCAAAUAUCACCAGUAGUGAAUACACCCUUGGAGACAAGCAUACGGCCGUUAGACAACUUGGCGUUCUCAAGGGCAAAAACGUGAGCAGCAG